GACGAACGCUGGCGGCGUGCCUAAUACAUGCAAGUCGAGCGAGUCUGCCUUGAAGAUCGGAGUGCUUGCACUCUGUGAAACAAGAUACAGGCUAGCGGCGGACGGGUGAGUAACACGUGGGUAACCUGCCCAAGAGAUCGGGAUAACACCUGGAAACAGCUGCUAAUACCGGAUAACAACAGAUGAUGCCUAUCAACUGUUUAAAAGAUGGUUCUGCUAUCACUCUUGGAUGGACCUGCGGUGCAUUAGCUAGUUGGUAGGGUAACGGCCUACCAAGGCGAUGAUGCAUAGCCGAUUUGAGAGAAUGAUCGGCCACACUGGGACUGAGACACGGCCCAAACUCCUACGGGAGGCAGCAGUAGGGAAUCUUCCACAAUGGACGCAAGUCUGAUGGAGCAACGCCGCGUGAGUGAAGAAGGGUUUCGGCUCGUAAAGCUCUGUUGUUGGUGAAGAAGGACAGGGGUAGUAACUGACCUUUGUUUGACGGUAAUCAAUUAGAAAGUCACGGCUAACUAAGUG
rnacentral:rRNA from 1 species